rnacentral:sRNA from 1 species
UUAUCAUAACUGCUUUCAAAAACUAGUCCCUGAAAUUGCUCAUUAAAUUUCCCAAAUUCUUUUUAGAGCAAGGUAGGAAAUGAUACAGAUUGAGAAGGGUGGAUCUUGUACUCCUAGACAUACACAUAUGGACAUGGUGACACCUAUGCCCAGGUACAGGAUUAUAGACAGAUUCAAAAUAGAUUAGCUGGACUCCAUUGGGAAGGAACUCUAACAGUGACUGCCCUGCUACUAGCAUUCAACCAAUGUUCCCAGACUUGAUAUUAAGAAGAAGAGGUGAAGAGAGAAUUGAGCUUGCAGAGUGAGACCACAGGGAAGAGUGGAAUGGUCAAAAAGAAAGUCUAGAUGGAUGCGAAAGGAAGUGGAAGGGGCCAACAGAGCAAAGGCAGUGUUCAGGUGACACCUCUAUCUUUCUUUCAUUGUAGGUGGAGAGAAGUCUUUGGCCUAUCAUGAAUGGAAAAUGGCCCUCUUCAAACCUGGUGAGUAAAUCACUGUAUGUUCCCUGGAUCAACAACCUGAGGGACUAUAUUCCUUUCUCCUCCUCCAACUCUUGUGAUUUG